UGAGGAAUAUUGGUCAAUGGGCGAGAGCCUGAACCAGCCAAAUCGCGUGAAGGAAGNCUGCCUUAUGGGUUGUAAACUUCUUUUAUACAGGAAUAAAAAAGGGGACGUGUCCCUUAUUGCAUGUACUGUAUGAAUAAGCAUCGGCUAACUCCGUGCCAGCAGCCGCGGUAAUACGGAGGAUGCGAGCGUUAUCCGGAUUUAUUGGGUUUAAAGGGUGCGCAGGCGGGCUUUUAAGUCAGCGGUGAAAUCUCGGGGCUUAACUCCGAAACUGCCGUUGAAACUGGGAGUCUUGAGUAUGGAUGAAGUAGGCGGAAUUCGUUGUGUAGCGGUGACAUGCUUAGAUAUAACGAGGAACUCCGAUUGCGUAGGCAGCUUACUAAGCCAUAACUGACGCUCAAGCACGAAAGCGUGGGGAUCAAACAGAUUAGAUACCCUGGUAGUCACGCCGUAAACGAUGUUACUAGUUGUAUGCGAUAUACCGUAUGUGACUAAGCGAAAGCGAUAAGUAAU
rnacentral:rRNA from 1 species